GGGGAGGAGGAGGAGGAGAAGCUGGAGGAGGAGGAGGAGGAGCUGGAGGAGGAGGAGGAGCUGGAGGAGGGGGAGGAGAGAUACGGAGCAUGGUUGGACAGCAGGAGGUCUGACGGGGGGGUGUCCCGGGGGCUGGCUCUGUGGAGGCGUGCGACUCUCGCGGCACGGUGUCCGUCCGUCCGUACCGAGCUCUGACGUAACGGCGUACGUACGUCCGAAGCUGCACUGAGAACACGUCCGCCAUCUCCGGGUCUGUAGCGCGUACCCCAGAGCCGUCUCCCGGAGUCGUCGCCCGGGGGCGUGUCCGAUGAGCGACGAUAGCGAGACCUGAUGAGCCGACAGACGGAUCGGUUCGCUCUUUUCUAACUCGUUUUAGACGUUUUUCUAAAUUGAAAUAAAAUUUGCUUUCUGGUGGAUUUCUCUGUUGCUGCGCGUUUGUUCAGAUGAUAAUAGUUGUUUUAAUCUUAAAACCCAGAGUGAGCAACACGUGAACUAGUGGUCGUUUCUCACCUACUUUAUGUGUGUGUGUGUGGGGGGGGCUAAUGUAGGACCAGGGGACCCCUGGAGAUAGGAGGUGGUAGGAGAGGAGGCCCACAGUAGCCCUGUGAGGCUGUAGAGACACCAGUCUCCACCGGGGGCACCGUGACCGUACUGCUCCUGUGGAGCCUCUCAGUCGGCCAACAGUAGCAGAGAGCAGAGACCGUCACACCCCAACCGGCCCUGUGCGGCGACGCAGCCGGAACCACCCGGCUGAGGAACGGUGGCGGCAAACCAAAGAUAUAAACGACGCUCGCACCAGGAGUGGAACUUGACGUGCACUUCGUACGAACAGUGCUUUCGUAAAUAGUAACACAAGUUACACUGUUCACUCUGUCUGUGUUAGGGAGGUUCAGCGUCGGUGUUUCACGGCGGCCCGGGAAACCUCUGUUCGUCUUUAGAGCUGUCGUCGUGGAAACGAGGACCCGAGCCGUCACUAGUCUAGAGCCGCCAUCUUGUUUUGACCUCCCGGCGUCGUUCGUAGGUUUCACAGAUAGGUCGCGACUUCGUGCCUUGUAGGUUAGGUGACAGACGGUGGACGCGGGCCACGCCCCCAGACGCACGCGGGCCACGCCCCCAGACGGAGCGAAGCAGGAAGUGGGAGCGGCCUCACUAAGCCAUACGUCUCCGUCCGCCGCCCUCCACAGAGCCACCAAACAGCCCCUGGGGCGUCACCCUGGGGGGUCAGCCCCGGUCCGACCUCCGCCCCCCGGUCCGCUCCCCGGCCCCCCCCUGGGCCAGCCCUGUGCCGUCCCCAUGCUCCGUAUUCAAGGGUUUGUUUUGCAUGACCUGGGUUUUGGGAAGGAUUCAUUUUCCUAUUUUUCUAUUCCUCCUGCGUUGGACCUCCACAACCAGGACCUCCACGCCCCGUGUUUACAUGAGACCCAGACAGCCCCCGCUGGGAGAACCUUCUCACCAGAGAACCUUCUCACUGGGAGGACCUUCUCACUGGAGAACCUUCUCACUGGGAGGACCUUCUCACCGGAGAACGUUCUCACAGGGAGAACGUUCUCACUGGGAGGACCUUCUCACUGGGAGGACCUUCUCACUGGAGAACCUUCUCACUGGGAGAACCUUCUCACUGGGAGAACCUUCUCACCGGAGAACGUUCUCACUGGGAGAACGUUCUCACUGGAGAACCUUCUCACCGGAGAACGUUCUCACCGGAGAACCUUCUCACCGCAGAACCUUCUCACUGGGAGAAGGUUCUCACUGGGAGGACCGUAUCACUGGAGAACCUUCUCACCGGAGAACCUUCUCACUGGGAGAACAUUCUGUUCUCACUGGUAAAACCUUCUCACUGGAUAACCUUCUCACAGGGAGAACGUUCUCACUGGUAGAACCUUCUCACCGGAGAACCUUCUCACUGGGAGAACGUUCUGUUCUCACUGGUAGAACCCUCUCGAUGGGAGAACUUUCUCCCUGGAGCCCCCUCAGCGUGUAGGCCUGUCUCCGGGUUGUGUGUGGUUCGCUUUAGACCGUUUGGAGUAACAGCAGCAGGUGAACGCUGUAGUUUGGUCGAGUUCAGCGUAACGCUUUGACAUGAUUCACCGCUCAGAGCACGGAGCCAGGAGGGAGCAGAGUCCCUGCAGACCGGUUCGCCCCAGACGGCUGCUGUGGUCUGUGGUCUGUGGACCCCAGAGCCACAGUAGGACAGCAGCCUGGGGACCAAUCAAGUUCGGAUUCUUUACAUGAAAUUUGGCGAUUAAGAUCGAAAAACACAAAAGUAAAACCUGUUGUUUUUUUUUAACAAAAAAAAAGUGAUUUAUUUAAUUUGUUCAUUUCUGAUUUAUUGUAUUUGUUGCAUUUGUUAUGGAUUGUUGGAUUAUUACUGUUGUUGUUUUAUCAUGAGAAAGAAAUGUAAAUCAUCAGAUAUACUGGCGCUGGAAGAAAAAAAUGCAUUUGGUUUUUGUACUGUAAUUGUUUUGUUCACAUUGGGCGCUUAUUUAAUUCCGUUGUUUACUAAGGUGUUUGAUUUCAAUUGGAGUACCAGUUCUCUUGGAAUCAGCAUUCGUGUGGUAUGAAGUUGUAUUUUUUUUGUCAGUGCAAUUUAAUGUUAUAGUGUCAAUCAGCUUUUUUAGGUGUUUGAACAAAAUGUGUUUUCUACAAAUACAAGGUGUUCAAGUAUGUGGUAAAAAAGGGUUAUCAUUCAAACAACAAACUUUUUACAAAAUAAAGGCUUCUACAGUAAA
ensembl:lncRNA